AUGAACUGGAGGAGGAGGAUGAGUAAGAGAGAAGCUGCUGGAUGGAGAAAGGAUGGGAGAAAAUACACAAGAUGGUGCAGGCUGCCGAUUAACUCCUCUAAAACAAUAAUGUGGGAUCAAUACAAUUUUUGUGUGAUGGGGUAUGCAUACUUAUUGUGUGGUGGGGCAUUCACACUUAUUGACUAUGCAACAUUGAUAUACAAUGCCAAGAAAUCAAUAUACAAGGCUUGUUGUACAAAUACUGCACUGAUCUAUGUGCAGCGAAUGGAUGAGAUACCAUCCUUGCGUGGCCGCAUGUCCACCCGUGAUUUAUCGGUCAUUCCGGCCCUUUUGUCUCCCAUCGUGCGUACAAAAUGCCCAGAAAGUAAACAAGCCCGAUCAAACUCUGCUUUGCAAAUUCAAUGUGAGUGUGAUACGGAUCAGAAGAGCUGA
rnacentral:rRNA from 1 species